rnacentral:misc_RNA from 1 species
GAAGAAGGAGUUCAGUAAGAUAUUGAUUAGGUUUAAUGUUUGAAGAAGCAUUUAAUAGAAGGGUUAAGUUUGGUCCCUUAGGCAUUGAUUUGCUCCUUGGCCGAAGAUUUAACGGAAGUCCAGUUUAACCCCUGACGAUAAGUUUUCCAUCAGUUCUGGUCUUUGAAUAUUUACGGACGACUAUUCCCUUUUGUGACGGGGGGAGAGGAUCUGUCUGUUCUUGCGACAACCAAAAUUGAGAAGCAGAACAAGCCUGCAGCGCUGUAUCACAGGUCGGCUAUGAAGAAGGAGUUCAGUAAGAUGUCAAAGGCUGUCAAGAAUUUGGUACUAGCAGGACCGCAUCUUCCACACUCUCGCCGGCCUCUUCGGCUUCGUC